GAAAGAAGGAAGCUGAAGCAGAAAAUACGCCCAGUGUGAACUGCAAGAUUGCCUGAUUUCUGAAGACCUUCACAGGUUUAUUUGAAUUCUCCUUUCUUAAAGCCCAUGGAAGGACUGAAUGAUUGAACAAUACCUUAAAGUAGAGGAAUCAACCACAGAGAACCGGAUGAAGCAGUUUAUCUACUCAAUAGUUUCCAUAACCAGCUUUCGGACAGAAAGUUGAAAAUAUAGCAGCAUAGAUGAUGCAUGUCUACAGGGUGACACAAAAUCUGUCACUAUCUAUGGCUGUUUAAACUCAAUGCAAAAGAAAACUUAUUGAGCUGUGAGCGGCGGGUGCCAUGAUAGGAAAUCCAACUGGAGAAAGACCCUACUAUUAACAUCAGUUGGAU